AUUGAACGCUGGCGGCAGGCCUAACACAUGCAAGUCGAACGAGUGGCGGACGGGUGAGUAAUGUCUGGGAAACUGCCUGAUGGGGGGGGAUAACUACUGGAAACGGUAGCUAAUACCGCAUACCCUCAGAUGUGCCCAGAUGGGUUUAGCUUGUUGGUGGGGUAACGGCCUACCAAGGCGACGAUCCCUAGCUGGUCUGAGAGGAUGACCAGCCACCAUGGAACUGAGACACGGUCCAGACUCGUACGGGAGGCAGCAGGGGUGAAUAUUGCACAAGGGGCGCAAGCCUGAUGCAGCCAUGCCGCGUGUAUGAAGAAGGCCUUCGGUUUGUAAAGUACUUUCAGCGGGGAGGCGUUACCCGCAGAGGAAGCACCGGCUAACUCCGUGCCAGCAGCCGCGGUAAUAC
rnacentral:rRNA from 1 species